CAGUAAAUGUGAAUCAGGAAGUUCAGUUAAAUCGGAAGUUCCCAUUUAGUACGAAUAUGUGUGCACUUGCUUCUGUACGAUGGAAACAGGGUAUCUAGAUUUUGGAGCGAGCAGUAGAAUGAAAUAAACGGAAUAGUUUGAUGGAAUAAUAAAUCAAAUAUGGAAAUAUCGUUAGUACUAGAAGUUUUUAUUAUUGUUUUAACUUCGAUGGUAAUUGUCGCGAUGGUGCCACUGUGUUUGUCCGCACAACACAAAUAUUCAGUGGUUAUCAGCAUUAUUAUUGUUGAAUAUGUAUUUGAAGUGCUUCGUGUUUUAUAUUUUGUUAAAGUUUACUGGAACAAAGCAGAUUUGUUGUUUGAUUUUCCUCUCAGAACAAUGCCUUCAAUUUCAAUGACUUGUUCCGUACUGCUUGGUACAAUUAUCUUGUCAUCCGUUUCAUUAAAAAAAUCGUUAGUAAAAGUUUUUUGUUCCAUCUACGUCCUUAUAUCAAUAUUACUAAUCAUAAUAUGGAACAAUUUCUUGGCAACCUGCUUGAUUGUUGAUCACCCUGAUCGAACCAAAACAAUCUACUGUGACCAUUACCUCAUAAAUUCAGAUAUCUUAGACUAAUACAAAUGCAUCGAUGAUGAGAAGAUAACUACUGGAUGUUAUACCGUCCAAAACAGAUUCCGACCUAAUACAGCUUUCUAUUGUUUUGAGAAUUGGGCACCUUGGACCAGUGGUUAUUUUCUGGAAUAUUUGCUAUUGAGUAUCCCGUCUUUUGCAGUAAUAUACGAUAAACUAUACAAGAUGUUACGAUUUUCUGAACUGAAUAGUUGUAAUGAAACUUGUUCCAUCUGCUGUUUCAACAUUUCACUUUAUAACCAUACAAUGGCGCUGGCCCUUUUUAUAAUUUGGUGUGUGAGACCAACUUUUUAUUUGUUUGUUGCAUCAGGAUCCUGUCGGAUAACGUCUUUCUAUAUUGACUUAACUAUUAUGAUAUCGUCAGCGAGUUUUACAUUACUAGCUUUGAUUUACAUUCUUAAAUUCUAUCUUUUUCAUAAAGGAGUAGGUCCAGUAAGACCCCUUUUUGGCCCCAAAAUACAGCAGUUUUUCAAAACUGUUAAAAUGUAAACUUUUAGUUAUUUAUUGGAAGGAAGAAUGCUUCUGCUGCAUAAAUAUUGGCUAUUUUUGACAAUACCAUGCACAUAUAUCGGGUAACAACACCAUUAAGUCAUGGUAAAUUACUGAAAUCUUCACAAUUCUAGCGUUUUAGUUAAAUUUUAGACGGUUUUCGUGUAAAACGAAAGUGGCCGCAAUCGUGUUCAUCCUUAAUAUUGAAAUGUUAGUUGUAUUGCAUAGUAAUACAUAGCAUAUAUUAGAGUUGAGGAUAAAAACGGAUGCGGCCCCUUUCAUUUUUUGACAAAAACUAUCUGAAAAUUGACAUUUUUCGCCAUAUUUGUUAGAUUUUUCGUAUUUGAGCUUGAAUCGGAGCAAUUUUAAUGACUAAAUCAGUCAAAAUCUUUCACAUAAACCAAUUGAAUCAAAUGAAAUAGACACUAAAGUGUUUAAAAAGUGGUCAAAUCUUUCGUCAGAUUAACCUGAAAUUUGAGGCAAAAAUCGGUCCUUACCGGACCUACUCCUUUGUCUGCAAUGAGGAUAAUGACAGUGAAUGUAAUGUUGUCCUUACAGAAUGUACAUGUGGAAACAAAAAGACAAAUGCAAACAUUGUGAGCAAAAUGAAUGUUAA